AGGUUAAGUUAACAAGGGCGCAUGGUGAAUGCCUUGGCACUAGGAGCCGAUGAAGGACGGGACUAACACCGAUAUGCUUCGGGGAGCUGUACGUAAGCUAUGAUCCGGAGAUUUCCGAAUGGGGCAACCCAGCAGUUUUAAUCAACUGUUACCACUAGAUGAAUUCAUAGUCUAGUUGGAGGUAAACGCUGUGAACUGAAACAUCUCAUUAGCAGCAGGAAUAUAAAGAAAUUUCGAUUCCCUAAGUAGCGGCGAGCGAACGGGGAACAGCCCAAACCAAAGUGCUUGCACUUUGGGGUUGUAGGACUGAACAUUUGAGUUACCAAAGAACUUGAUAGUCGAAGGAUUUGGGAAAAUCCGCCAUAGAUGGUGAUAGCCCAGUAGAUUAAAUCAAAUUCUCUCAGUUCAGGAUCCUGAGUACGGCGGAACACGUGAAAUUCCGUCGGAAUCCGGGAGGACCAUCUCCCAAGGCUAAAUACUACCUAGUGACCGAUAGUGAACCAGUACCGUGAGGGAAAGGUGAAAAGCACCCCGGGAGGGGAGUGAAAUAGUUCCUGAAACCAUGUGCCUACAAUAAGUCAGAGCGCGUUAAUGCGUGAUGGUGUGCCUUUUGUAGAAUGAACCGGCGAGUUAUGAUCCCGUGCAAGGUUAAGACUAAAAAGUCGGAGCCGUAGCGAAAGCGAGUCUGAAAUGGGCGUUUUGAGUACGAGGUUAUAGACCCGAAACCAGGUGACCUAUCCAUGUCCAGGUUGAAGGUGCGGUAAAACGCACUGGAGGACCGAACCCGUGUAAGUUGAAAAUUGCUGGGAUGAGGUGUGGAUAGCGGUGAAAUUCCAAACGAACUUGGAGAUAGCUGGUUCUCUCCGAAAUAGCUUUAGGGCUAGCCUCGGAAUUAGGAUCAUGGAGGUAGAGCACUAUUUGGACUAGGGGCCCGUCUUGGGUUACUGAAUUCAGAUAAACUCCGAAUGCCAUUGAUUCAUAUCCGGGAGUCAGACGAUGAGUGAUAAGAUCCACCGUCGAAAGGGGAACAGCCCAGACCAUCAGUUAAGGUCCCUAAAUGUAUGCUAAGUGGAAAAGGAUGUGGAGUUGCAUAGACAACUAGGAUGUUGGCUCAGAAGCAGCCACCAUUUAAAGAGUGCGUAAUAGCUCACUAGUCGAGUGAUCCUGCGCCGAAAAUGUACCGGGGCUAAGCAUACUACCGAAACCAUGGAUGCGACCAUUAGGUCGCGUGAUAGGAGAGCGUUCUAAGGGCGGUGAAGCAAGAUCGUGAGGACUUGUGGAGCGCUUAGAAGUGAGAAUGCCGGUAUGAGUAGCGAAAGAUAGGUGAGAAUCCUAUCCACCGAAUGACUAAGGUUUCCUGGGGAAGGCUCGUCCUCCCAGGGUUAGUCGGGACCUAAGUCGAGGCCGAGAGGCGUAGACGAUGGAUAACAGGUUGAGAUUCCUGUACUAGUUAAGUGCGUUUGAGCAAUGGAGGGACGCAGGAGGCUAAGAUGUGCAUUCUGUUGGAUUAGAAUGUCCAAGCAGUAAGUCUUGUGAAGAGUCAAAUGCUUUUCACUUUAAGGACAAGCUGUGAUGGGGAGCGAAAUUUAGUAGCGAAGCGUCUGAUGUCACACUGCCGAGAAAAGCUUCUAGUGAGUACUUAACUACCCGUACCGCAAACCGACACAGGUAGUCGAGGAGAGAAUCCUAAGGUGAGCGAGUGAACUCUCGUUAAGGAACUCGGCAAAAUGACCCCGUAACUUCGGGAGAAGGGGUGCUGAUCGCAAGAUCAGCCGCAGUGAAUAGGCCCAGGCGACUGUUUAUCAAAAACACAGGUCUCUGCAAAAUCGUAAGAUGACGUAUAGGGGCUGACGCCUGCCCGGUGCUGGAAGGUUAAAAGGAUGGGUUAGCUUCGGCGAAGCUCAGAAUUGAAGCCCCAGUAAACGGCGGCCGUAACUAUAACGGUCCUAAGGUAGCGAAAUUCCUUGUCGGGUAAGUUCCGACCCGCACGAAAGGCGUAACGAUCUGGGCACUGUCUCAACGAGAGACUCGGUGAAAUUAUAUUGUCCGUGAAGAUGCGGACUACCCGCGACAGGACGGAAAGACCCCAUGGAGCUUUACUGUAGCUUGAUAUUGAGUGUUUGUACAGCUUGUACAGGAUAGGUAGGAGCCAUAGAAACCGGAACGCUAGUUUCGGUGGAGGCGUUGGUGGGAUACUACCCUCGCUGUAUGACCACUCUAACCCGCACCACUAAUCGUGGUGGGAGACAGUGUCAGGUGGGCAGUUUGACUGGGGCGGUCGCCUCCUAAAAAGUAACGGAGGCGCCCAAAGGUUCCCUCAGAAUGGUUGGAAAUCAUUCGCAGAGUGUAAAGGCACAAGGGAGCUUGACUGCGAGACAGACAGGUCGAGCAGGGACGAAAGUCGGGCUUAGUGAUCCGGUGGUACCGUAUGGAAGGGCCAUCGCUCAACGGAUAAAAGCUACCCUGGGGAUAACAGGCUUAUCUCCCCCAAGAGUCCACAUCGACGGGGAGGUUUGGCACCUCGAUGUCGGCUCAUCGCAUCCUGGGGCUGUAGUCGGUCCCAAGGGUUGGGCUGUUCGCCCAUUAAAGCGGUACGCGAGCUGGGUUCAGAACGUCGUGAGACAGUUCGGUCCCUAUCCGUCGCGGGCGUAGGAAAUUUGAGAGGACCUGUCCUUAGUACGAGAGGACCGGGAUGGACAUACCUCUGGUGUACCAGUUGUGCCGCCAGGCGCAUCGCUGGGUAGCUACGUAUGGAUGUGAUAAACGCUGAAAGCAUCUAAGUGUGAAACACACCUCGAGAUGAGAUUUCCCAUUCCUUUAUGGAAGUAAGACCCCUGAAAGAUGAUCAGGUAGAUAGGUUAGAAGUGGCAGUGCGGUGACGCAUGAAGCGGACUAAUACUAAUCGGUCGAGGACUUAACCAAG
rnacentral:rRNA from 1 species